UGCCUUUUGUUUUAUUUAUUUUUUCAGAAUCAAAAAAUAUCCCAGACCCUGAGUUGGUGGUGAAGUUUGGUGCUGUGAACAGCACACUGGGUUUCCUCCCCUGGCACAUCAGACUCACAGAGUUUGUUUCCCUGCCCUCCCACAAAAACGUUUCGUAUGAAGACCUGUUUGGUGCCCUGCAGCAUUACAGUGCCUGUCACCAGCGGCUCGGACAAUGACCGGCAGAUUGUUCUGCUCUUCAGAGAGGAGCACGGAUCAGGUCUAACAUGUUUGUUCAGAGGCUGGAUUGGAGGUGACAUCCUUCCUGUGUACCAUGACCACACCCGUCCUUUUCUUCUGGACUAAAAACUUUCAGGAUGGCUAAAAGAUGAAGGAAUCAGGAAUGAUGAGCAGCUUGUCUUCUGCCACUAAUUCGUGUUUCAUGAUGAAAUCACUUUCCAGUAUACUACAAAUCAGUGGAAGAAGGCUGAACAGAGGUGAACACUGACCUAUGACGACUAUCUCAACUGACCGUUUUGCAAUAUCGACUCUGUCUCCCCAGCCUCUGGGUUCUGUGGAUAUCAUUUCCACAGAAAAGAAAUGGAUACAGAGAAAACUAUUACAUUAGUUGUCACUUGGCAUCUUGUUAAAUCCAGCCAUUAUUUUUGGAUGGAUUUUCAAUACUGACAAUAAAUGGACAGAAGGUUAGCUUUGAGUGAGAAACCUCAUCAGUCUGUUGGCCUAUUUGUUCUGUUAUCCAAUUCAAAAUUGUCAUUUUCCAUUCGUGUUUUAGAAACUGACAAAUGUUUUAGUUUGCCUGAAAUAAAAAAGGCACAGUCACUUUGGUGACUGACCCAGAAAAAAUUAAACUUUUUUCUUUGAAAAGGAAA